CGAAUGAGCCAGAUAGUUCGAGCACUGGAUGGAAAUAUGUCUCUAGAUGAUUUAAGUGAUGGAAUCACAACUGGGCACAGCAUGGUGUAUGGCUCUUAUGGAGGUUCAGACUAUAGUUCUAUCCAAUACAAGGAAGACUUGAAGAAAUUCAGGAAGAUGGCACUAGAAAGCCAAGAACAUAGUAGCAGAGAGUACAGUGGAAUCACCAGUGAGUAUGGUCUACAACCAUUUAGCAGUAGCACUGAAGGCCAAGGUACACAAGAGAUGGAAUCAAUUAGGAAGGAGACA
rnacentral:misc_RNA from 1 species